AAUGAACGCUGGCGGCAGGCCUAACACAUGCAAGUCGAACGAGUGGCGGACGGGUGAGUAAUGUCUGGGAAACUGCCUGAUGGAGGGGGAUAACUACUGGAAACGGUAGCUAAUACCGCAUACCAUCAGAUGUGCCCAGAUGGGAUUGGCUAGUUGGUGGGGUAACGGCUCACCAAGGCGACGAUCCCUAGCUAGUCUGAGAGGAAGACCAGCAACACGGGAACUGAGACACGGUCCAACUCCCUAAGGGAGGCAGCAGUGGGGAAGAUUGCACAAUGGGCGAAGGCCUACUGCAGCCAUGCCGCUUGGAGGAAGAAGUCCUUCGGGUUGUAAAGUACUUUCAGCGGGGAGGCGUUACCCGCAGAAGAAGCACCGGCUAACUCCGUGCCAGCAGCCGCGGUAAUUC
rnacentral:rRNA from 1 species